rnacentral:rRNA from 1 species
UACGUAGGGUGCGAGCGUUGUCCGGAAUUAUUGGGCGUAAAGAGCUCGUAGGCGGCUAGUCACGUCGGAUGUGAAAACCCGAGGCUCAACCUCGGGCCUGCAUUCGAUACGGGCUGGCUAGAGUACUGCAGGGGAGACUGGAAUUCCUGGUGUAGCGGUGAAAUGCGCAGAUAUCAGGAGGAACACCGGUGGCGAAGGCGGGUCUCUGGGCAGUAACUGACGCUGGAGGAGCGAAAGCGUGGGGAGCGAACAGG